rnacentral:rRNA from 2 species
CAUAUGGAGAGUUUGAUCCUGGCUCAGGACGAACGCUGGCGGCGUGCCUUACACAUGCAAGUCGUGCGAGAACGGUUCCUUCGGGAACCUAGUAGAGCGGCGAACGGGUGAGUAAUACGUGAGCGAUCUGCCCGAGGGUGGGGGAUACCCCAGGGAAACCUGGACCAAUACCGCGUACAGCGUCGGGAGUGGAUGCCCGACGUGAAAGCCGGCCUCUUCUAUGCUGGCGCCUUCGGAUGAGCUCGCGGCCUAUCAGCUUGUUGGUGGGGUAACGGCCUACCAAGGCUAUGACGGGUAGCUGACGUGAGAGCGUGAUCAGCCACAUUGGGACUGAGACACGGCCCAGACUCCUACGGGAGGCAGCAGUGGGGAAUAUUGCGCAAUGGGCGAAAGCCUGACGCAGCGACGCCGCGUGGGGGAGGAAGGCCCUAGGGUUGUAAACCCCUGUCAGGUGGGACGAACACCUUGUCGGAUAAUACCCGGCAGGACUGACGGUACCACCAGAGGAAGCUCCGGCUAACUCCGUGCCAGCAGCCGCGGUAAU